rnacentral:lncRNA from 1 species
UAGAAAUACAAAACUAGAACAUGAACAUAGAAAUACAAAACAUAGAAAAACUUCCCCUGUCACGCCCUGACCUACUCUACCAUAGAAAAUAACAUCUUACUAUGGUCAGGACGUGACAAAUACUAUCAGCUUUUAUGAUACUGAUAAAGAUAGCACCUUUACAGACGGUCCCUAACUGCACAUUCACAUUCUCUCAAGAUGCUGAAAAAAAUAUAUAUAUUUCUCCACUCCUGUUCCUGAGUAAAAUGUGCAUUUGUUGCAUCAUUACAGGAAAUGCUUAAUUCUGCAGGAUAUUUGGUUAUGUGAAAGGUUAUACACCUACAGCCAGUAUCCAUAUUUCAGUUACCACUCCAUUUAACCCAUCUGAACACAGUUCCGUUGACUUUCCCUAUUUGAAGUCACCGUCAUGACUGUUGAAUUUGGAUUGCGCCUCACAAUCAUCAAACAUAACACUGCUAUCAUCCUCUUUUACCACUUAACCAGAUCUUUCCCAGACAGACUACUGCUCUGGCCCUCCCUUAUCUUUAUUUUAAACUCUCCAUUUAGCAGCUUCCCGCUGUGCACAAACUGGUUGAAUUAACAUAUUGCCGGAUGGGGCGUGAUAGGGUGUGGAAGCCAAACGAACUGGCAGGAGCGUGGGAGCCUGGCGAGCCGGCUGAGGCAUGGAAGCCCGACGAUCCGGCUUAGGCAAGACGCCUGUCGAUCCCGCUGCAGCGAGAGAGCCAGGUGAUCCGUUGGAGCAUGACGUGGGAUGGAAACCUGCUGAGCCAACCGAGGCAAGGAAACCUCUCGAACCAGCCAGGACGUGCUAGGGCGUGGAAGCCCGACGAGCUGGAUAGGCACCCCCGGUUCCAUCGGCGGCGACCCAGAGCCGAUGUCACCACCAACCGGAACCGUCAUUCCAUGUGACAGAAUGCAGCAGCCGGGAACAGAGCAAGGGAACUGAAAAAUAUAGGGGAGGUAACAAACAAGUGAUGAGUGAGUCCAGCAAUUCAAGAGCCCACGGGAGAAAACAGACAACUUCUAUAAGACCCUGCAUUACACCAUUGCAGCUUACUUCCCAAAAGGGGUGGUUAGGAUGCAUGCACAGGAUAAGGAGCUGAUUUCACCGAGAAUCAAAGAGCUGAUUCAAAGCAGACAGAAAACCUUCAGUGAAAAAGACUGGCCUUCAUGGAGCACUCUGAGAAACACAACCCAGAGACAGAUCCAGGCAGCAAGAUCAACAUUCUACCACACCGAAAUCCAGAAAAACAAGAAGGCGAACCCAGCCACAUGGUACCAUCAAAUUAAAUCUCUGACCAGCACUAAAAAGACCGUCUCAAUCAAAGCUGAGCGGCUCGACCCAGACAAUUGAAUGACCAGUUAUUUGUCACCACAUCAUUACCACCACUAAACCUGUCAGACCUAACUGCAUUCACUUCCGACUGUUGAACUAUGGGAAAUGCACAGGAAACUACUCUCUGUUCUAACCAGGAAGACCUUUUUUGAUCUUGUGGAUCACACCAAUGCAAUGAAACACCUUUUGGAAUUAUCUGACCGACCAGAGAUCAUGCCAUGGAUUUGUAACUUCCAUUCCGACAGUAGUCAGGUGACAAAAUACCAUGACACUGUAUCGCAGGCCCAAGAACUCUCCUGUGGCCUGCCCCCACGGCACACGGCUUGGUCCAAUUGUAUUCGUGGCUCACGUCAAUGGUACAUCAGAGGGUACCCUAUGCAACACCUGGGCCUAGGUGGAUGACCUGAACCUCAUCGAAUCAAGACCCAUAGGUGACACUUCCACCAUACAGCAGAUCCUCAACUAAUUAGCCGACUGGUCAGAACCAAACAAGAUGAAGUUCAACCCAACCAAGUGCAAAGUCAUGUACACCUGUUUUAGACACAAUCCUGACCCACCUCCGCCAUUAUCCAUCUCCGGCCACACACUUGAGGUGGUAUCCAGCGCCAAAGCGCUUGGUGUGACAUUCCAAGCCAAGAUGUGUGGGACACACACUCAUCUCCGACAUUAACACCGAAUCCCAGGAUGACUACAAAUGGCUGCCUCAGAUGAAAGGCCAUGUCAGUGGCAGAUCUACCUGAUCCAGUCACAAACUGAACCUUCUCCUUACUACCUGAUC